UGGGGAAUUUUGGACAAUGGGCGAAAGCCUGAUCCAGCCAUGCCGCGUGCAGGAUGAAGGCCUUCGGGUUGUAAACUGCUUUUGUACGGAACGAAAAGACUCUGGUUAAUACCUGGGGUCCAUGACGGUACCGUAAGAAUAAGCACCGGCUAACUACGUGCCAGCAGCCGCGGUAAUACGUAGGGUGCAAGCGUUAAUCGGAAUUACUGGGCGUAAAGCGUGCGCAGGCGGUUAUAUAAGACAGAUGUGAAAUCCCCGGGCUCAACCUGGGAACUGCAUUUGUGACUGUAUAGCUAGAGUACGGCAGAGGGGGAUGGAAUUCCCGCGUGUAGCAGUGAAAAUGCGUAGAUAUGCGGAGGAACACCGAUGGCGAAGGCAAUCCCCUGGGCCUGUACUGACGCUCAUGCACGAAAGCGUGGGGAGCAAACA
rnacentral:rRNA from 1 species